UGCUUAUCGUCUCUUCCUCGUAGUCGGUUGCCGCCAUUGUCCUCCAAUACGAUUCGUUUAUGUUUUCUUUAUCUCUUUCCCCUUUGUUAUUUACUCUUCCUUUCUUUAUCCGCUUCCUUUUAUCAAUUCUUUCCUACACCGUCUCUCUCACUCUGGGUUACUGACGUUGGAGCCGUUGCUGGUGAUCGACGAAUGGUAAAGGAGCAGCACUCAGCGACCAGUCCCAACUUUAUCGUCGGCGUUGAAGGCCACCGGUGUUGGCGAAGGCAGUCCAUCAAAGUGCUCGGCGGACAGAGACUUGGCUUCGGGGUUGUUCUUCUAAGAAUAGUAUUACGUUCAUCAACUUGGGUUCUUCCACCACCGAUUUAUGUUCCUACGUAUCGGUCUCACUGAAUUUUUAUAUUGUGACUGACGUUGGAGCUGUUGCUGGUGAUCGACGAGUGCUGAAGGAGCAGCAGUCGGAGACCAGUGGUUUGAUGGUGCGCCGAUGGCGUCACCGAUUUCCUGUUUGCUUAACGGUUCCAUGUUUCGUCCACUGCUUCUCUUAGCAGUUUCCGUUCUUUCUCUGGGAAUCAAUUUAAGGUGUUUGACGGGAUGAGAAAGCAGGAACAACUAUGUGUAUUUAUGGUUAUUAGAGAAAUUUGAAGAAACAAAGGAAGCGCACCAGGUGUUUGAUAAAAUGUCUAUAUGAAAUCUGGGUUUGAAACCAAUAAUUGGUAAACUAUUCUUAUCAAUUUCAGCCAUCUUACUCCACUAACUAAAAUAUAUCAUCCAUUUGCAAAUUUAGUUUUCAAAGUUUACAUUCAAUUAUCAUAACAUCUCUGGUUAUUUGAAGACUAAUAUGCCCUCAAGAAAUAGCAUUUAUAACAAUUUGAACUGAUCAUUGCCCUUGCUUCCUUUCAUUGUAUCUUUAUUGUUUUUGGUUCCAUGGAUGAUUUACAAAUGAAAUUAUUGACUUUCAUUUUUUUUAUCUUAUUUUUCAGGAAAAUAACUGAAGGGUUAUAUGCAAAAAAUAGCAUCAUACUUCUGUUAUAAUUUUGAUUUUUCAAAGUUUAUUAGUUUUAAUACAUUUUUUUAAAAACUCAUUUACAGGUCAGCUUAAGAGAUCCUAUUCGGAAAGGUGCUGAUGAUAAUGACCUGAGACAAAUUAUUGGGGCUGCGGCAAGUGAAUCUAUUAAGAAGGAGUAUGACCGAAAGUGUGAUCAACUUAGACAUCAAUUUGCAAAGGAUCUUAAACCUCAUGUGAUUGAUAAAACUCAAGCUACGGCUAAAGAUUUGCAUUCGCGUAUUUGGGUUGCAUUACAUACGGUUGAUUCUAUAUCAAAAUGGAUUGAGAAAAUAAGAGAUGAAGAGUUACAACCGCAAGAACUCAUUCAAGGGUGUAUUCCAUUGCAAUCGGUCUGUCGGCCAUGGCAAAAACCCGCAGAAAUGUCACUUAUUGUUGGGCUUCCGCGUCAUAAUAAAAAGGAUGAUUUUCGCCAAGCUGCUCGACAUUCCAUACACCAAACUCCUUCAAAAUUGCUUUCACUUAUCCUGCUGUUAAGAUAAUGAAAGUCCAAGCAUCUAAGUUGCUUUUACUGAUAUGAUGAUUGGUUACUCUUUAUCAAAAAACCCUUGUACAAAAAUAGCUAUCCACAGUUACUGACAAAGAAGCCCUUCAGGGUUCUGGGUUUGCAUUACGGUCUCUUGAUAUUCAUUUUAACAGAAAGAUAUAAAGGCCAUAUAGAUGGUAAUGCUAUAACAAACAAAUGAAUGGAAGUACGUUGCCAUUCUUUUCAUCUCAAAUGCUCAAACAUGACAUUGGUGUUACUUUCAAUUAUUUUCUAUUAAGUCAUUGUAUUAUAUGUUGGGUUGAAAUUUUAAAUUACAAUGUUAUAAUAACACAAAAAAAAGUAGGAUGCUAUAAUAAAACAAUAAAUGAAGUAUGUUGCUAUUUUUUUCCA